UAUACGCCUGAUGAGUACAAUUCCACUAUUAUGGGCAAUUAAACAGAACAUCCGAAUAUCAUUAGACGGAUAUUAAAGCUAGGCAGGAGUCAAUGUGAAUAUAAGUUCAAUGCGAAUACAAUAUAUUACUGCCUGUCGCUCCAUUUCUGUUGAGUUUUAUUGCUGAAAGUUGCAUCUGCCUCAGAAAUAUAGUAGCACCAUGAACAGAAUAUUGCUAGGGGGAAUUUUGGUUCUAAUUCUCCUUUCCUAUCAAUGCCAUGGUACUCCACUGAAUGAAGUAGAAGUGACAUUGGAAAAAAUGUAAGUGCUUAUGUUUAUCAUUUAUUUUUUAACAAUGCAAUAUUAUCAAUUAUCAAUGACAUCACAAACUUAGGUAUUUAUCUUGAAAAAGUUUGAAUAAAUAACAUCUCUGAAGAGGUGAAAAUCAUUCACUUGAAUGCAAAAAUGUUAUUGCUGUGCUUUUUUUUGUAAUGAACUGAAUGAGAGAAUCUAUUAAAUGCUACAAAACCAAAGGCAGUAGCCAUAAAGUUUACCCAACGUUUGCCAUUAUAUCAUGUGAAAACAUUACUAUUCAACUGUCACCUGAAACCCGUUUCACAGUAUGAUUGUAUCAUUCUCAAACUUUAAGUUAGACCAAAUUUUAGCCUACUUUGACUUAAUAUAAAUCAGCAGUAGUCCAGUUACAUAAGAAAGAUAUGGCGAAUGUUUUAGGCCAACUGUAACAUUAUUCAAUGGGCUACCAUGAAUUUACCUUAAACUGAAAAGCUGAGAUCAAGUUUCGAACUAAAGUUCUAUUAUAAAAUAUGACUGAAAUACAAGUAAACUGGAGCUUGAAACAUCUAAAUUUAUAUUUUUCAGACCACCAGAGAGAGAAAAAAGAUCAUGUUCAUCAAAGAAAUACAGCAAGUGUUGGAGGGAUAAGGACUGCUGUUAUCCACUAAUGUGCAUGUUGCCAAACAAUACAGGUUUUGUCUUUAGACAAAAAAGAUGCCAGUGACAUAACUCUGACAAUUACCCAGUAACAGAAUCAACAACAUUUUCCCAAUGGGAAAAUGAAAUGUCACUUGUGAAGAUAAAAUGAAAAGACUUGUAUUGAGCACAUCUAAGCACUUAGAUUAUUUACAGCCAUGAAUUUCUGGUAAACAUUUAGUCUCAGACUUUUUGUAAAAGGUUUACCCAAAAUGCAAUAAAUCCUGGACUGUUAAUAGUCAAGAUAUGGUUGUUGUGUUGUUGUAUUUAUUAUAUUUAACAAGAUCUGUGGCCAGUGGUUAUGUUAAACAGAGCUUUAAUUCUCAAGAUGCUUUUUUUCUUAUCUCUUCCAACAACGAAUGUUAAGAUUUUAUUAGUGUUAUUUGAUAUUUCAGACAAGUUAUCUCAAAAAGUAAGCAAUAAAAUUUUCAAAUGGACAUUCAUUCAGGGAAAGAAAGUACAAUUUCACCCAAAUACAGGUGUCUUUAUUUUCUUUAUAUAUUUUUAUUUAAUUAUAAUCUACAUUUU